rnacentral:rRNA from 1 species
AUUGAACGCUGGCGGCAGGCCUAACACAUGCAAGUCGAGCGGAUGAAGGGAGCUUGCUCCUGGCUUCAGCGGCGGACGGGUGAGUAAUGCCUAGGAAUCUGCCUGGCAGUGGGGGAUAACAUCCGGAAACGGGCGCUAAUACCGCAUACGUCCUGAUGGAGAAAGUGGGGGAUCUUUGGACCUCACGCUAUUAGCUGAGCCUAGGUCGGAUUAGCUAGUUGGUGGGGUAAAUGCCUACCAAGGCGACGAUCCGUAACUGGUCUGAGAGGAUGAUCAGUCACACUGGAACUGAGACACGGUCCAGACUCCUACGGGAGGCAGCAGUGGGGAAUAUUGGACAAUGGGCGAAAGCCUGAUCCAGCCAUGCCGCGUGUGUGAAGAAGGUCUUCGGAUCGUAAAGCACUUUAAGUUGGGAGGAAGAGCAGUAAGUUAAUACCUUGCUGUUUUGACGUUACCAACAGAAUAAGCACCGGCUAACUUCGUG